rnacentral:rRNA from 1 species
CGGGAAACUGGGGCUAAUACCCGAUAGGCGAGGGCGCCUGGAAUGGUUCUUCACCCAAAGGGCUUUGGAAGCAUGCUUUUCAAUGUCGCCUGGGGAUGGGGCCGCGUCCGAUCAGGUUGUUGGUGAGGUAACGGCUCACCAAACCUAUAACCGGUACGGGCCGUGAGAGCGGUAGCCCGGAGAUGGGCACUGAGACAAGGGCCCACGCCCUACGGGGCGCAGCAGCCGCUAAAACUCCGCAAUGCACGAAAGUGUGACGGGGCUACCCCGAGUGCCGUCCGCUGAGGAUGGCUUUUCCUCAGUGUAACUAGCCGGGGGAAUAAGGAGAGGGCAAGACUGGUGUCAGCCGCCGUGGUAAUACCAGCUCUCCGAGUAGUAGGGAUGAUUAUUGGGCUU